AUGGAGGGGAACAUGAUUACAACAGCGGGGACCGGAACCGGAGCUGACUCUGUAACCAUGGUAACAGGUCCCACUGGCACCCCGGAUCUCCAGGUUCUGACCCACAGAGUGAAGCUUCUAGAGCACAGCCUGAGAGACAACGUCAGCUCCUUCACUGAGUCUGAGAGCGCUCUGCACAACAGGAUUAGAGAGUUGGAGGUGUCAGAACAGAGCCUGCUACAGAAGGUGGAGGACCUUACUGCCAACUCAGUCCUCCACUGCCCCAGCAUGCUGCAGCGCCAGAGGCUGGACGAGCGGCUCCACACGCUGAGGGAGGAGGUACGCUCCAUGUCCCAGGAGAAGGAGCGUGGGGAUCGUGUGUGGAGGGAGAGGCUGCGGCGCUGCCAGGCCCAGCUCAGGGCUAAAGAAGAGGAGAUGGGCCGCCAGUCUCAGUACUUUGAGCACUUUAAGAGCCAGCUGCACCACAAGCUAGACCUGGCCAGAGACAGGGAGCAGGGCCUGCAGACCAGACUCCACCAGCUGGAGCGACAGGUGCUGGAGAUGAACGUAUCUGCUGCCACCUACAUAGUCCCUGUCAACACAGCUAGCACCAACUCCGUUACUGCAGCCAAUGUCAAUCCCAUCAUAGUACCAACCUCAGGCCAACAGAGAACAGAGACAGAGAGACUGCCCCACCCAAGGGAGGAAGGAGAAGGAGAGGAGGAGGACGGUGAGGAGAAGACACAGCGGAGACACUACGGACAACAGCUCCAGCAGAAGCAGGGAGCGGAUGAUAGAGAAAUAGAGGGAGAAAGAGAGGGGGAGGAAGAGGGUGAGAGUCUGGGGGGUGAGGCUAGACUGAGAAGCUUCAUCCUCAGCCUCCAGGAGGACCUCCGGGGUCUGCUGGAGAGGGAGGAGCAGGAGCUGGCGGAGCAGAGGGGGCUGAUGGAACAGCUGCAGGAAGCGCAGGAGAACAACCACUUCUUGUCCUGUACGUUGGAGGAGAUGAGGACGGUGGUCCACAGACUGAAGCUGACAGAGAGCUCCCUGAUGGAGGAGGUGGAGGAGCUGCAAGAGGAGAACCAGAGACUGUGUCAGAGGCUCAGCCACACCCUGAGACAGACCAACCACAGCCUGGGUUCUACUGACCCCAGCCCUGUCUCUACCCCCAGCCUGGCUACCUCCCUGACAAACGCCCCUGGCCUGAGUCAACCAGUUCCCUGCUCUGUGGACAACACUGACCCGGUGAAGAUGAUCCCAGGCCAGUCUUCACUAGACACACCUCCCUCUGCUCAUCACCAUGGAGCAACAGAGAGGUCACAGGAAAACUCCACUCUGCCUCUGCCCCAGCCGGACCUCCUGAACCUCUCAGGCCACCGUAGCCAGAACCCCUGCCUCAUAUCCCUGGGUACUAAGAGCAUUGAGGGUCUGGGGGAGUUGACCCUGAGGGACUGGUGUCCUGGUCCUGGGGGCGUCCCCUCUCUAAACCUGGAGGAGGGGACAAGCGAGGAGACUGAGGCCCUGAGAGAGGCUUACAGGAGCAUGGGGGGCGACAUGGACUCACUCCGGGACCACAGGGACCAGCUGGAGAGCACGCUACGACACACACAGGACCAGCUGCACAGGGUGACCGAGGAGAACGCCCAACUGAAAUGUAAACUCAGGGCGCAGGGAGAAACAGGGGCCUGCGAGGUGGAGCAGGGGUCCUCGCUUGUAGGCGAGAGCAUGACAAAUGUCCAGGAAAACAAGGUGCCAACUCCAAACCUAAUACCCCAGGGGAGCAGAGAGCUCACUGCAACUCCAUAUCAGAAUGAUACUAUCCUAGCCUUAGCCCAGGAUGACCUGUCCCUGUAUGCCUUAGCCCAGGAUGACCUAGCCCUAGCCUUGAACCAGGAGAACCGGGCCCUGGGCAGGCGUAUCCAGGAGCUCCUAGCCCACAUAGAGCGCCAGGAGGGGGAGAGUGAGAGGGAGCUAGUCCAGCUCAGGCUACAGGUGUCCCUGCUAGAGAGGGAGAGCACCAGGCUGGAGCAGGAGAACCAGGAGCAGGGAGGUCUCAUCACUGAGCUGACCAGGAAGACUGAGGAUGACCUCAACACUAUCAUAGAGCUGCAGGAAAGACGGGUCGAGAGCAGUCAGCUAGGCCUACAGCAGGAGGACCGUUUGACCACGGAGUCAACGUGCAGGCUUAGAGAGAACAGGGACGAGCUGAUUGGCUAUCUCAGUGAUCUCAAAGAGGAAAGAGAACAGGUGUCCCUCUCACUUAGCAGUCAAACAGAGGAGAAACACCAGCUAACGCGCUCCAUGUGGGUUCUGAAAGAAGAACGCGACCAGAUCCAUAAGUCACUCUGCAGUUUAAAAGAAGAGAAAGAACAGCUGACAAGGUCCCUCUGUGGUCUGAAAGAUGAGAGAGACAAGGUGAUGCGGUCAAUGUGUGGUUUAAAAGAGGGGAGAGAUCAGCUAGUUCAGUCAAUGUCUGGACUCCAGGAGGAGAGACACCAGCCAGUUCAGUCAAUGUCUGGACUCCAGGAGGAGAGAGACCAGCUAGUUCAGUCAAUGUCUGGACUCCAGGAGGAGAGACACCAGCCAGUUCAGUCAAUGUCUGGACUCCAGGAGGAGAGAGACCAGCUAGUUCAGUCAAUGUCUGGACUCCAGGAGGAGAGAGACCAGCUAGUUCAGUCAAUGUCUGGACUCCAGGAGGAGAGAGACCAGCUAGUUCAGUCAAUGUCUGGACUCCAGGAGGAGAGAGACCAGCUAGUUCAGUCAGUGACUGGACUCCAGGAGGAGAGAGACCAGCUAGUUCAGUCAAUGUCUGGACUCCAGGAGGAGAGAGACCAGCUAGUUCAGUCAAUGUCUGGACUCCAGGAGGAGAGAGACCAGCUAGUUCAGUCAAUGUCUAGACUCCAGGAGGAGAGAGACAAGCUCUUGCAGUCUCUCUUCAGCCAAAAAGAUGAGAGAGACCAGUUGAUGCAGUCAAUGUGUGGUUUAAAGGGACAGAGGGACCAGCUAACACAGACACUCAGCCGUCUAGAGCAGGAGAGAGACAAGCUGUCAUCUCUCAGUCUUCAAACACGAAAGAGGUACCAGGUGGACCAGUUUGUCUCUGAUCUAAAAGAAGAGAAGGAGCAGCUAGUUCAGUCAAUGGAUGUUCUGAGAGAACAGAGAGAACAGCUCACAGAGGAGAGAGACCAGUUGCAGAUGGACGUCGCUACUCUACGGAAUCAGCUGCUGUUACAGGGGCGGAGCCACAACCAGCAGCCCUCAGAGAACCAUGUUGGCAAGGCAACACGCACAGAGGUUGUGGCUACAGAGAGAGGGGGUCAGAUGCCAAAAACGCAUGAUGAUGGUGAUGUCACUCAUAGAUGCCUGGCCACGGUCUACUCCUACAAGACCAUCCGUCUGGCGCAGUCUGCACAGGACCAUUUGGGAGAGAAAGAGGGAACAGAUGUGGAGCAGAGUGGACUGAUGAGGGAGAUCGAGUCGCUGGGGUUAGAACUCAGAAGCUCACGAGAGGUACUGAAGAAGACCCAAUCAGAGGCUCAAAGGUGGUACCGUGAGCUGGGUGUGUCUGAGGUCAGACGAGAGGAGGCUGAGAAGAGGGCGGGAAAGGCAGCCAAUAAGGUGAAGAGGGCGGUACAGGCAGCAAAUGAGGUGAAGAGGGUGGUACAGGCAGCCAAUGAGGUGAAGAGGGCGGUACAGGCAGCAAAUGAGGUGAAGAGGGUGGUACAGGCAGCCAAUGAGGUGGGGAUGAGAGAGGAAACCAAAGAGGUGGAGGAGAUGAAGAGGGAAAACCACACACUGAGAGCAGAGUUGGGAGAGGUGAAGAGCAGACUAGUGGGUCUGGAGAGAGAGAAGACCGAUGCUCACUCACUAAGGAUCAAGAUCGAAGAGAAGUUCAGCUUGCUUCAGGCUGAACUCAAAGCCAAGAGUGUUGCUCUGAAGGAGCUGAGUUCAGAGUACACAUCUCUGAAGAGAGAGCAGGGCAGCAGAGAGGACUGGAGCAACACACUCACCUUACUGAGGGUGCGCUAUGAUGACAUCAGAGCUAAGUACAACGUUCUCCUGAGAAAGAGUCAGACGGACCAGGACAUAGCUCCUCUAAAGGCCAAGCUGUCAUGUCUGGUGGGGAAGUGCCAGCAGAGGAACAGUCUACUGGUGCAGUUGAUGCGAGCCCUGCGUCGGUAUGGCUGCCUGGACUACAAUCUGACCCAGGAGGCUGAGGACCUGCUUAACGACACAGCGCUGCAGGACUACGCCAGCACCUUCACACCCCCAUCCACUGCAGCUCUGCAGGAGAACACCCCCCUUCUCCCACCUGCAGCCUCAGAACGACCGGAGCGCUCACAGACCUCUGCUGCAGCCUCCACAGCACAGCUUCCCCUUUCUGCGGGUGAAUCAGUCCAAGUCACUGGACUCCCAGACAGACGUGGGAUGUACCAUGCCGAGGUGAAAGGGAAGUCUGGCCUGGUCCCUGCCCGUUUCUUAGAGGAGAAUGGGAGACCACUCAUCCUGACUUCCCCCUCGCCAGAGAGAUGUGCCAGUCUGACUAGGAAGCUGACCAGUCCAGGGAAGAUCAUCAACCUUCACCAGCAGUUGCAGAACACUCUCUCCAACAGCUACCAGGUUUUCCCUUCCAAGACCAGCCCCCAGGUUUACUCCAGUCCCCCUUCAGGACAGGGGUACUCCCCAGGAUACCCCAACCACAACCCUUCUGCCCCCAACCGACCCAAGCAUACCCUUGUAGCAACUACCCCUAUUAUUACUACUACUAGUCUCCUAUCUACCACUGCCCCCACUAAAACUACCAGUGAUGGUGCUACCUCUCCUAAGCAGACCCCAAACAGAGCACAUCCAACUACCAACCCUCCUGUCCACACCACCACCACCACUACUGCUCUUAGCAGUGGUAAAGAACCCCUCUCUAAAACUGUCUCUAUUGCUGCUACCUCCAAUGUUACAACCCCUGUUAAUACCCCUCCUACCGCUGUGGCCCAGACUGCUAAAGCACAAACUACCACUGCCUUGUGGAACACUGCCCCCACCAAAUCUGCCCCUUCAACUAUUACCGCUGGAACUACAGCCCCCACCAAAAUGGCCCCCAUCACUACUGCUCUUUCCCUUGCUGAGUUGUCACGACUGCCUGAUGAGGACCAUUGCAUCAAGAAGCCCCUCGCAAUCCUCCAACCUGAACAAGCUAAGCCAACCAAACCCAGAGCUAUACCAGAACCUCCAGCUGAGGUGGGCUCUGUUGAGGUCCUCAGGACUGUGGGACAGAGCAGCCUCAUGAUUGGUUGGGAGAGACCGCCACUGGAUGAGCUGGGCUGCAGCAACGGAACCUUUGUGUAUGGAUACAUGGUAGGCUGCUCCUCUCGCCUUGGAUACAUUAGAAUGUAA
rnacentral:lncRNA from 8 species